rnacentral:lncRNA from 1 species
UUCAAAAAAUUUAUAAUAUUCAUAAAUAAAAUAUAAAUAACAUAAAAUAUAAAGAGUUAGAUAAAAUUUUACAGGCUGAGUGUACGUUACAUUAAAUGUAACGUAGGCGAACCCUCAUUCUUAAUAUACUGGAUAUGUAUGAUUAUUUUGAUACUAUUAUAAGUACAUGUGCUUUUAUGGUUCUUUGAAAAUUAAUUAUUUUUCAUAACAAAAUUAGUUUAUGUAAAUGUUUUUAGAUUUGAAAAUUAUGUUAUUUUUUAUGAUUUUAACAUAAUAUUAUAAAUGCCUUUAAAUAUGUAAUUUAUUUUGCUAAAUGAUUAUCUUUUAUGAAAUUGUCUCUAAAAUAUUAUAAUGGAAUUUUUUUUGCAAGCCUAGUUCAUUGUUAUGAUCUUUUAUGAGUCUAAGAAAAAUUUUUUGACCAUGUAUACAAUAGAGAUUCUUUAUGAUUGUUCGGGGGCCACCUCUUAGGAGUAAAUGGGGCCCACCUCUCGAGGGUCAAAGUGUUGCAAAGUGCUAUGUAUAGGUCGUUAUGUAUGGAAAAUGAAUUUAAAUAUUUUAGCUCAUUAUCUCUAGUAAUUCUAAUUUUGAUUUUGAUCGUAUUAUAUAUAUAUUUAUAUAAUUUUAGGCCAAUACUGGGUUUAUAUUCUGAAUGUGUACACGAUAGUCUAAUUCUGACUCUGUUUUUGGCUGAGUUACUGGGACUAUAAGUGACACUAUGUGACAUGAGAUAACCUCUUAUUUCUGUAUAUAUGUUAUACUAUUUGAUUCAAUGAUUAAUAAUGCUUUGGAUAUAAUGAAUUACUAUAAAUUUAUGUCAUCUUGUCGUAAUAUGUCAUUUUAUGAAAUUUAUAAUUUAUAAUAUAUGUUUUGAUAAAAAGAAGGCUUGCAAUAUUUUUAGUACUCGAUAAGUCUAGUGUGUUAGGAAUGAUUUUACUUAUCGAGUUGACGGUUCACUCCUCGUCAUCAUUUUUUCAAAUUAGGUACCUUGUUGAGAGGUGUGUUUAUCUUUGGAGAUAAAAUAUUCAUUUACUUUUGCUAGUUGAAUAAGAGAAGGAUAAACUCAUGUUUCCUUUACAUUUGUUUAUUUUAUGAACUUGUUAUUGGGGAGUUUUGAGACUCUGUCAUAUUUAUGUCUUUGGGAGAAAUUUUGAAUAAAAUCUGAGGUAUUUCUUUUUAAGAUUUUUGUGUGAGGAUUUUGAUUUAGGAGUGACUCUUUUAUCACGUGCUAGAUUUGGGGUGUUACACUUAGAGUCAAUAUGUGGAUAAUUUUCUUUCAAAAUCUUAUCUUUGAGUCAAUAUGUGGGUAAGACUUCAAACCUACCCAGGUAACAAUUUUUCUAGUUCAUUUUCAAUAUAUUUAUAAUUUCUUGAUUUGAAAGUAUCAUUAUUAGCUCAACUACUCUUUACACCCGCUACAUCUAAAAUGUUCAACAUUACUUCUUUUUCAUCUUUUGUCCAUACUCAUCUUGAGUCUAUCUUAUUUCUACUAGUAUAGCUUGAAUCUCCACUCUCCAUUACUAUAAAAUGAAUACAUAAUAAUUUUUUUAACAAGUAAUUAAAAUAUAACAUCAAGUCAAGUUCACAUAAGUAACACUUGAUAAAUUUAUAAUGACAUCUAUAUGUUAAAAAACGGUUACAACCUCAUAUAUUUUCCUAGUGACAUAUGUAUAUUAACAAAAGCAUAGCCUUAGAUACUUUCCUAAUGACAUCUCUAUAUUAAUAAAAGUACAACAUGAGAUACUGUCCUAAUAACAUUUAUAUAUUAACAAAAGUACAUCAUUAAAUACUUAGUUAAUGACAUCGGUAUAUUAAUAAAAGUUACAGCUCUAGAUAAAUACUAAUUUCCAAGCCAAUUAAUUUAUAUAGCACCAACUAAAUCAUUCCUCCAACUCGUCCAUUGGUUUGAAGCUUCAAGGCUACUUAUGUUAUCAUUAUUUUCUACUUCAUUAUUAGAUAUGUUGAGUAAUUCAUGCUCCACUAGAUCCACUACAGUUGUCUCCUAAUCAGAUUAUUCAAUAAACAUUAUGCAGCAAUAAUGCAACAUUGGAUUUUCAUUGGAUAAAAUGAAGAACAUCGAAGAAUGGCCCAUUGUACUUUAAGCAAUAAAAAAAACCACUUAAUUACAUUUAUUAAGGAGGAAAAUGUUUCAUGUUAAAGAACUCUUCUUCAUUAUGAAGAGCACACCGAUCUCUCUAUUCUGAUUAAUAAUAACUUGUUCCCAUAUAUGUACAAAGAAUCUUUUAAGAUUUGUAUAUCUAGCAUCCACAAGAUAAUAGUAGCUAGAGUUGGGGUAAUUCGAGAUUGGAUUAGGAUUGGAUUAACCUGAUAGGGUUUCAGGUUUAUCGGGUUGAAAAAAGAAAUGAUCUGAACUUAUAAUCCGAUCUGAUUUGAACUAUAUUCAGAUCGGAGUGGAUCAAAAUUUCAAGUUGAGUUCAGAUUAGAUUAGGUUAUGAUCACAUGCAAAUUAGGUUGCGUUUGGACUAAUGGAUUGGGUAAUUUAUAAUUGAUUUGGAUAAUAUUCUAACUAUUGUUUAUUUUUAUUUUUUUACAAAUUAUUUUAGUUAUUAAAAGAUUGUUUCAAUGUAAUUAUCUCAUUUUGGCCUUUUCUUCUACUAAUUUUCAACAAAAAAAUGACUAUGGGAUUAAAUAAAAAAUUAAAAUAAACUAUUACUAUCAAUCGGAUUGGGUCAGGCUAAUUGCUCACUCCUAAGAUUAUAAAUAUAUAUUUAUUUAUUGCCCAUCUAAUUGGCUUUUCAGAUUAGAUCGAGUUAAAUCCCAUUUGAUCACGAUCCAAUUGGGUUGGCCAAAUUUGAUCGAUCGGGUUAGAGGCUUCAUUUGCAUAUAAUCUGAACGUGAAUUUUUCAGAACGGAUCGAGUUGGGUUAUUUGCCCACCCCUAUCUAGUGACCUAUUCAUUUCACAUAAGCAUAUAAUAUAAUUUUUAGUAUGAAUAUGUAAUUUGAUUAAAUUAAUUUUUUGGAAUGAGUAAUACUUAUAGAAACUUUUAAAUUGGUCGGCUUAUUUACAUUACAAGGUAAUCUUAAGUCAAAGGCAGAGCCUUCUCUUCCAGGCAUCACGAAGAUAAAUUUCAUAUCUCGUGAACAUACUUCUAAAACAUUUGAAGCAAUCUCACCCUUUUUUGUUCAAUAUGUUGGCUUCUCAUUUUUUGGCACACAUACUCUAAUAUAAGUUUCAUCCAUUGGCCCCAAGUAAUUCUACAUACACAAAACAAAUGAAGAGUUUAUUAGUAUCAAUCUAUCACAAGCUAUAAUAAAACACAAGCACUUGACAAUGUACCUUAAACGACUUCCAUCUCUUAUCAGUGCAAUUCUCUACUACAAGUUCUAGUGCUCUUAGAAAAAUAUCGUGUAGCUAUAACACUUCAUUUAACAGUAGAUUACUCAAGCAUACACUUCAUUUUUUAAUGCAAAUUCAGUAUCAGUUAUCUCAAUAAUUUCAUGAUAUUAAAAAAAAAAACUACAGUCAAUUACUCAAGCAUACAUUGUUUAGCUAGAUUUCGUUCCCAUUUUACACCAUUUUUAUCGAGUUGUAUUGUAACAGAUGUAACAGUGAUAUAAUAUGUUAUGCUUUAAAAAAAAAAAAAAAAGCCUAUGUUUGCGGCUGAUUUGAUCAUUGGCCUCAUGUUUUCUUUCCAAACAGCCUAGUUCUUCAUAAAUUAAAAAAUUGUGAUUAAUAAUAAUGCUGAAAAUACAUGUUUGAAUUAAGCUAGCUAGUGGUCCUUUAAUCAAGCAAUAUUUAGUGUAAUCAUAUGUUUACGUAAAGAUAUAAAGAACAAAAAUAAUAAUAAUAAAUGAAUCGCACUAAGAAUAUCUGUUGGCACAUUUGAUUGCUAUUCUUGCACAAUCUCUCAAAUUGAUUAUCUCUAGCUUAGCUUCCUUCAAUCUUUCUACUACAGUCGCUACCCUUCAAAUUACAAGCAUUAUCCCAUGAAAGCUCAAUUAAUCUUUUGUAAUCGUCAUAGGAGGACCAAUAAUCCUUAAAAUGAAUUCUGCAACACCACCUAUCCCUAGUGUCUCCGAAGUUCUUCCUUCGUUUAUUAAAUUCAAUCUAAAUUGGCAGAUGAUCAGAACCCCCAACCACCAUAUGAGUAACCAAAAUUCUGGAAAAUCUAUUUCGCCACGGAUCAGAGCGCAAAAAUCUGUCUAACUUACCUUAAAUUUAUAACCCCAUAGCCUUCUUCUACGUUGGUGGCUGGUUAUGUUUCUAGCUUGAAGUACACUGUUUUAAUACAUUUAUGCUGCGUUUACUUUUUGGAUUGGAGUGAGAAUUCUGAGGAGUGGGAAUCCUUGGAUUAGGAGUGUGGAGUGGGAGUGGGAGUAGGGUGUUUACUUAGACUAAAUGAAAGUAUGGAUUGCCAAUCAAAAUCCUAAUUAUUUGUUUACUUUGUCUUGAAUUGAGAGUAAAUUGUUUUAAAUUACAAUUUUAUCCUU